AGAGUUUGAUCCUGGCUCAGAACGAACGCUGGCGGCGCGUCUUAAGCAUGCAAGUCGAACGGCAUGAGGAAGCUUGCUUCCUCAGAGAGUGGCGGACUGGUGAGUAACACGUGGGUGACCUACCCUUGAGAUGGGGAUAGCCAUUAGAAAUAGUGGAUAAUACCGAAUACGCUCUACGGACUCUGGUUUGUAGAGGAAACAGGCUACGGCCUGGCUCGAGGAUGGGCCCGCGUCCCAUUAGCUAGUUGGUGAGGUAAGAGCCCACCAAGGCGACGAUGGGUAUCCGGCCUGAGAGGGUGUACGGACACAUUGGGACUGAGAUACGGCCCAAACUCCUACGGGAGGCAGCAGCUAAGAAUAUUCCGCAAUGGACGAAAGUCUGACGGAGCGACGCCGCGUGGAUGACGAAGGCCGAAAGGUUGUAAAAUCCUUUUGCUGAUGAAGAAUAAGCGUGGUAGGGAAUGACCGCGUGAUGACAUUAGUCGGUGAAUAAGCCCCGGCUAACUACGUGCCAGCAGCCGCGGUAACACGUAGGGGGCAAGCGUUGUUCGGAAUUAUUGGGCGUAAAGGGCAUGUAGGCGGUUUGGUAAGCCUGAUGUGAAAUCCUGCAGCUUAACUGUAGAACUGCAUUGGGUACUGCCGAACUUGAAUCACUGAGGGGAAACUAGAAUUCCAGGUGUAGGGGUGGAAUCUGUAGAUAUCUGGAAGAAUACCGGUGGCGAAGGCGGGUUUCUAGCAGAUGAUUGACGCUGAGGUGCGAAAGUGCGGGGAGCGAACAGGAUUAGAUACCCUGGUAGUCCGCACCGUAAACGAUGUACACUAGGUGUCGGGGCAUGAGUCUCGGUGCCAAAGCUAACGUAAUAAGUGUACCGCCUGGGAAGUAUGCCCGCAAGGGUGAAACUCAAAGGAAUUGACGGGGGCCCGCACAAGCGGU
rnacentral:rRNA from 1 species